AGAGGAAUAGCUGGGUCAAAUGGUGGUUCCAUUCCCAGCUUUCCAAGGAAUCUCCAUACUGCUUUCCAAAUUGGCUGCACUAGUUUGUAGUCCCACUAGCAGU
rnacentral:pre_miRNA from 1 species